rnacentral:rRNA from 1 species
GGGUUGUGAGGUUAAGCGACUAAGCGUACACGGUGGAUGCCCUGGCAGUCAGAGGCGAUGAAGGACGUGCUAAUCUGCGAUAAGCGUCGGUAAGGUGAUAUGAACCGUUAUAACCGGCGAUUUCCGAAUGGGGAAACCCAGUGUGUUUCGACACACUAUCAUUAACUGAAUCCAUAGGUUAAUGAGGCGAACCGGGGGAACUGAAACAUCUAAGUACCCCGAGGAAAAGAAAUCAACCGAGAUUCCCCCAGUAGCGGCGAGCGAACGGGGAGCAGCCCAGAGCCUGAAUCAGUGUGUGUGUUAGUGGAAGCGUCUGGAAAGGCGCGCGAUACAGGGUGACAGCCCCGUACACAAAAAUGCACAUGCUGUGAGCUCGAUGAGUAGGGCGGGACACGUGGUAUCCUGUCUGAAUAUGGGGGGACCAUCCUCCAAGGCUAAAUACUCCUGACUGACCGAUAGUGAACCAGUACCGUGAGGGAAAGGCGAAAAGAACCCCGGCGAGGGGAGUGAAAAAGAACCUGAAACCGUGUACGUACAAGCAGUGGGAGCACGCUUAGGCGUGUGACUGCGUACCUUUUGUAUAAUGGGUCAGCGACUUAUAUUCUGUAGCAAGGUUAACCGAAUAGGGGAGCCGAAGGGAAACCGAGUCUUAACUGGGCGUUAAGUUGCAGGGUAUAGACCCGAAACCCGGUGAUCUAGCCAUGGGCAGGUUGAAGGUUGGGUAACACUAACUGGAGGACCGAACCGACUAAUGUUGAAAAAUUAGCGGAUGACUUGUGGCUGGGGGUGAAAGGCCAAUCAAACCGGGAGAUAGCUGGUUCUCCCCGAAAGCUAUUUAGGUAGCGCCUCGUGAAUUCAUCUCCGGGGGUAGAGCACUGUUUCGGCAAGGGGGUCAUCCCGACUUACCAACCCGAUGCAAACUGCGAAUACCGGAGAAUGUUAUCACGGGAGACACACGGCGGGUGCUAACGUCCGUCGUGAAGAGGGAAACAACCCAGACCGCCAGCUAAGGUCCCAAAGUCAUGGUUAAGUGGGAAACGAUGUGGGAAGGCCCAGACAGCCAGGAUGUUGGCUUAGAAGCAGCCAUCAUUUAAAGAAAGCGUAAUAGCUCACUGGUCGAGUCGGCCUGCGCGGAAGAUGUAACGGGGCUAAACCAUGCACCGAAGCUGCGGCAGCGACGCUUAUGCGUUGUUGGGUAGGGGAGCGUUCUGUAAGCCUGUGAAGGUGUGCUGUGAGGCAUGCUGGAGGUAUCAGAAGUGCGAAUGCUGACAUAAGUAACGAUAAAGCGGGUGAAAAGCCCGCUCGCCGGAAGACCAAGGGUUCCUGUCCAACGUUAAUCGGGGCAGGGUGAGUCGACCCCUAAGGCGAGGCCGAAAGGCGUAGUCGAUGGGAAACAGGUUAAUAUUCCUGUACUUGGUGUUACUGCGAAGGGGGGACGGAGAAGGCUAUGUUGGCCGGGCGACGGUUGUCCCGGUUUAAGCGUGUAGGCUGGUUUUCCAGGCAAAUCCGGAAAAUCAAGGCUGAGGCGUGAUGACGAGGCACUACGGUGCUGAAGCAACAAAUGCCCUGCUUCCAGGAAAAGCCUCUAAGCAUCAGGUAACAUCAAAUCGUACCCCAAACCGACACAGGUGGUCAGGUAGAGAAUACCAAGGCGCUUGAGAGAACUCGGGUGAAGGAACUAGGCAAAAUGGUGCCGUAACUUCGGGAGAAGGCACGCUGAUAUGUAGGUGAAGCGACUUGCUCGUGGAGCUGAAAUCAGUCGAAGAUACCAGCUGGCUGCAACUGUUUAUUAAAAACACAGCACUGUGCAAACACGAAAGUGGACGUAUACGGUGUGACGCCUGCCCGGUGCCGGAAGGUUAAUUGAUGGGGUUAGCGCAAGCGAAGCUCUUGAUCGAAGCCCCGGUAAACGGCGGCCGUAACUAUAACGGUCCUAAGGUAGCGAAAUUCCUUGUCGGGUAAGUUCCGACCUGCACGAAUGGCGUAAUGAUGGCCAGGCUGUCUCCACCCGAGACUCAGUGAAAUUGAACUCGCUGUGAAGAUGCAGUGUACCCGCGGCAAGACGGAAAGACCCCGUGAACCUUUACUAUAGCUUGACACUGAACAUUGAGCCUUGAUGUGUAGGAUAGGUGGGAGGCUUAGAAGUGUGGACGCCAGUCUGCAUGGAGCCGACCUUGAAAUACCACCCUUUAAUGUUUGAUGUUCUAACGUUGACCCGUAAUCCGGGUUGCGGACAGUGUCUGGUGGGUAGUUUGACUGGGGCGGUCUCCUCCUAAAGAGUAACGGAGGAGCACGAAGGUUGGCUAAUCCUGGUCGGACAUCAGGAGGUUAGUGCAAUGGCAUAAGCCAGCUUGACUGCGAGCGUGACGGCGCGAGCAGGUGCGAAAGCAGGUCAUAGUGAUCCGGUGGUUCUGAAUGGAAGGGCCAUCGCUCAACGGAUAAAAGGUACUCCGGGGAUAACAGGCUGAUACCGCCCAAGAGUUCAUAUCGACGGCGGUGUUUGGCACCUCGAUGUCGGCUCAUCACAUCCUGGGGCUGAAGUAGGUCCCAAGGGUAUGGCUGUUCGCCAUUUAAAGUGGUACGCGAGCUGGGUUUAGAACGUCGUGAGACAGUUCGGUCCCUAUCUGCCGUGGGCGCUGGAGAACUGAGGGGGGCUGCUCCUAGUACGAGAGGACCGGAGUGGACGCAUCACUGGUGUUCGGGUUGUCAUGCCAAUGGCACUGCCCGGUAGCUAAAUGCGGAAGAGAUAAGUGCUGAAAGCAUCUAAGCACGAAACUUGCCCCGAGAUGAGUUCUCCCUGACCCUUUAAGGGUCCUGAAGGAACGUUGAAGACGACGACGUUGAUAGGCCGGGUGUGUAAGCGCAGCGAUGCGUUGAGCUAACCGGUACUAAUGAACCGUGAGGCUUAACCUUACAACGCCGAAGCUGUU